rnacentral:rRNA from 1 species
CGAUAACGAACGAGACCUUAACCUGCUAAAUAGCCAGGCUAUCUUUUGAUGGUCGCCGGCUUCUUAGAGGGACUAUCGGCUCAAGCCGAUGGAAGUUUGAGGCAAUAACAGGUCUGUGAUGCCCUUAGAUGUUCUGGGCCGCACGCGCGCUACACUGACAGAGCCAACGAGUAUAAACCUUAACCGAAAGGUUUGGGUAAUCUUGUUAAACUCUGUCGUGCUGGGGAUAGGGCAUUGCAAUUAUUGCCCUUCAACGAGGAAUAUCUAGUAAGCGCAAGUCAUCAGCUUGCGUUGAUUACGUCCCUGCCCUUUGUACACACCGCCCGUCGCUACUACCGAUUGAAUGGCUA